rnacentral:rRNA from 1 species
GACGAACGCUGGCGGCGUGCCUAAUACAUGCAAGUUGAGCGAUGAAGCUUGGUGCUUGCACCAAUUUGAAGAGCAGCGAACGGGUGAGUAACGCGUGGGGAAUCUGCCUUUGAGCGGGGGACAACAUUUGGAAGCGAAUGCUAAUACCGCAUAACAACUUUAAACAUAAGUUUUAAGUUUGAAAGAUGCAAUUGCAUCACUCAAAGAUGAUCCCGCGUUGUAUUAGCUAGUUGGUGAGGUAAAGGCUCACCAAGGCGAUGAUACAUAGCCGACCUGAGAGGGUGAUCGGCCACAUUGGGACUGAGACACGGCCCAAACUCCUACGGGAGGCAGCAGUAGGGAAUCUUCGGCAAUGGACGAAAGUCUGACCGAGCAACGCCGCGUGAGUGAAGAAGGGUUUCGGAUCGUAAAACUCGGUUGGUAGAGAAGAACGUUGGUGAGAGUGGAAAGCUCAUCAAGUGACGGUAACUACCCAGAAAGGGACGGCUAACUACGUG